GUGGCAAAUGCUUUCGGGAAAAGAGAGCAAGGGUAUCUCCCCGGGUGCCUGUGCCUCCUCGCCCUGCCCCCUUCCAGCAUCCAACGCCUACCCCAGGUGUGGAACAGGAUCCCUGCAGCCCCACUGCGUGACUCCUCCGAGUUCUGCCCAUGCAGAUGCCACGCUCAGAGCCCUUUCCCCACUGUUGGCCACCCAGCCUGACCGUGUCCCCCAGCCAGCAGCCAAGGGCCACGUUUCUGCCCGGCUGUCGUGACCCGGCCUUGGUCUCUGACAGUCCAAGAGGAUGCUCCCGGCUUGGGGAACGGGGCGGGGACGGGAUACCAUGUUCUCACCAAGGGUGUGUUGGGGCCCGGACAGCGUGACCUUGGCCGAGACCUGACCCCGCCGUGGCUCCGCCACCCCGGCCUGGGCUGUGCAAAUCAAAGGGUCAUUGUCAGCCCAGCGUGGGUUCGAAACCGAGGCCAGCUGCCAAACGCCUCCUGCUCCCCAGCCUGGCCCGUCUCCCCGACCCGGAGGCCGUGCCCUGGGUGACCUCGGGCAGGACACUGGCCCUCCCUGGGGAGCCCCCUCGCCCGUGCCUCCCAUUCGUGCCCUCCUCUCCACCCGCCCCCUGCAGCCCGCUUCCCACCCCAGCUGCCUACCCGGCCCCCCAACUCAAACACCUACUGCAACGCCUGGUAGCCCCUGCCCGCCGCCAUGGGCUCCUCCCUGCAGGUGACAGUCCAGUGCCAUCAGAGCUGUGACGGGGGACGCUGGACCUGACCCGACCCCGGGGGAGACCGAGGCCGGCUUCUCGUUUCAGUCGAGUCUGACUGAGCGGUGGGGGGAGGGGGUGUGGGGACAGAAGGCACCGGACGUUUGUGCCACGAGAAAGGGGAAGCCCAACUCAAGGGUGGUCGGCCAGACACGACCCCCGAGAUGUCCGGGGCCUGAUCCCCGGACCCCGCGAGUCUGUCACCCGUGCGAGGGGACUUGCAGGCAGGAUUCAGUGAAGGGCCUUCCUCUGGGGACAGGACCCCGAUCAUCCCGUGGGCCCCAGGGGACCGCGGAUCCUGGAAAGCGGAGGCCUCUCCCUCUGCGGUCAGAGAGGCGGGCCGUGAGCAGGACGGCCCCCGCGGGGCUGGCUUUGAAGACGGAGGAAGGGGCCUCGGGCCAAGGAAUGUGGGCGGCCUCCAGCCGCUGGAAAAGGCCAGGAACAGACGCUCCCCCGGAGCCUCGGAGAGGAAUGCGGCCAAUUCCUCGACUUGAGCUCCACGGGACCCGCGUGGGACUUCUGACCUCCGGACCCGGAAGAGACAAUCCGUGUGGUUCGAAGCCACCGAGUUUGGGGCAAUUUGUUACAGCAGCCAAAGGCGGCCGACACCAGUGGGCACAGCAGAGGGGGUCCUGUGCCCCGGUGACACCGUCCUGGCCUCACAGGGAGCGAGCACCGGGAGCAGGAAGGUGUGGGGGUCUCCCUGGGGCUGCCCUUGAGGCCUGGAGGGAGAAGGAGGCGUCUGGUGGAAGCCCACUCCAGGCUGUGCCGCCUCGGCCAGGCCGCGUGACCUCUCUGUGCCCAGGUUUUCUCGUCUGCAAAAUGGGCACAGAUCCCAGUUCUGCAGAUUCCAGCCACGCCGCGAGGGCCGGGGCACAGGAGGGCGGGACGUGCACCCACAGAUUCUGGUUAGUCAGCCGGCAGGUGUUUGCCCAGCGUGAAGAGUCUUUGCUGCCCGCCUCGAUGCUGUGAGGCAGACACCCAUUUCACAGAGGGGGAAACUGAGGCUAGAGGCAGGAAAGUGACUUCUUGGGAGUCACAAAGCCCCACAGGCUGGGAACUGGAGUCAGAACCAGGGGAGCAGGGCUCCAGGACUGGCGCGCUGAGCCCCCUCGGGGCAGGGCCCUCCCCUCUCUGGACUGUGCGGUGAGGGCCGGCUCCUGGGUCACGGCCAGCAUCCCCGCUCCCAGCACCAGAUUUGCCUUUGUGGAGUCACCUGCUGCAGUCCCAGCCAAAUGGCCCAGGAGGGGGCGCCAGCCGAUAAGAAGCACCUGACCGUCAGCAAACCAGGAGUCGGCCCCGAGACUUUUGUGGGGAAACUGACACCCAGGUCCUGACCAAGCCCGAGGGGAGGGGUGUGAGCCUGGAGCUGCAAGCGGCUCCUGCCCAAGGCCAGCCCCAGGGGACACGGAGCCAAGAGGGGCAGCAGCAAUUCCCUGUGCUAUUGUUGGAGGCCCUGGAUCCAGCCAUGCCUGAACUCCUCCUCCUCGAUAAGAUAAAGCUG
rnacentral:lncRNA from 1 species